GUGAAUCAUCAAAUUUUUGAACGCAAAUUGCACUCUCUGGUAUUCCGGAGAGUAUGCCUGUUUGAGGGUCAUUUGAAAUAAAAAUCGGUGUGGUUGCUGCCGUUCGUGGUGACGCACCGGGUGUGGGUCGGCUUGCCUUCAGUUAGGUGACCGAAAAUUGAGCAUGGUUUGUUGCGAACGUAGUGAAAUGAUUUUACGUACGUUUGCGAUAUC
rnacentral:misc_RNA from 1 species